GUAUGUGAGAGUGAUCUAGGUAUUAUACCUGUCACUGAGUUAAUCACCAUAUUUGAUUACAUUGGUCCAGCUGGACAUGUAGGUGUCCUCUCUUCCUUAUCUGCUGCUUGUGAAUCCUCCUAGAGCUGCAUAUUCUUAGAGGUGUAGAACCUACUCAAAUACAGGAGGAUUAGUCCUACAGGUACACAAGUAGCUGUGUUUCCAUGCAAAUCUCUAAAUAUGCUCUCAGAAUAGCGUAUGUGUUAUUGUAAUAAUAAAAUAUAGAUUCAUAUCACAGUUCACUGGGCAUCUAUUG
ensembl:misc_RNA predicted gene, 25981